rnacentral:rRNA from 1 species
GCACGGGAGCAAUCCUGGUGGCGAGUGGCGAACGGGUGAGUAAUAUAUCGGAACGUGCCCAGUCGUGGGGGAUAACGUAGAGAAAUUUACGCUAAUACCGCAUACGAUCUAAGGAUGAAAGCGGGGGACCGUAAGGCCUCGCGCGAUUGGAGCGGCUGAUAUCAGAUUAGGUUGUUGGUGAGGUAAAAGCUCACCAAGCCGACGAUCUGUAGCUGGUUUGAGAGAACGACCAGCCACACUGGGACUGAGACACGGCCCAGACUCCUACGGGAGGCAGCAGUGGGGAAUUUUGGACAAUGGGCGAAAGCCUGAUCCAGCAAUGCCGCGUGCAGGAAGAAGGCCUUCGGGUUGUAAACUGCUUUUGUACGGAACGAAAAGGUCUGCCCUAAUACGGCGGGCCCAUGACGGUACCGUAAGAAUAAGCACCGGCUAACUACGUGCCAGCAGCCGCGGUAAUACGUAGGGUGCGAGCGUUAAUCGGAAUUACUGGGCGUAAAGCGUGCGCAGGCGGUGAUGUAAGACAGUUGUGAAAUCCCCGGGCUCAACCUGGGAAUUGCAUCUGUGACUGCAUCGCUAGAGUACGGUAGAGGGGGAUGGAAUUCCGCGUGUAGCAGUGAAAUGCGUAGAUAUGCGGAGGAACACCGAUGGCGAAGGCAAUCCCCUGGACCUGUACUGACGCUCAUGCACGAAAGCGUG